UUAAAAUGUAAAUUUAUUUAUUUAAGUAUUAAUAGUUAUGAUCUUUAAAUUUAAAUAUUUUGGCGGUAUUUUAGUCUAUUCAGAGGAACCUGUCCCAUAAUCGAUAGUCCACGAUAAAUUUUACUUUGUUAAUAAAUUUGUAUAUCGUCGUUAUUAAAUAUUUUAUAAGAAAAUUUAAUGUUUAGUAUUUAUGAUUUUAAAAUAUAUCAGAUCAAGGUGCAGUUAAUAAUGAAGGGGAGAUGGGUUACAUUAUUUGUAUUUUUAUGAAUUUUAUGAUUUAAUUUAUAUAAGAAAUUGGAUUUGAUAGUAAUAUAAUUUAUAUAGAUUAUAUGAUUUUAGCUCUAAAAUGUGU
rnacentral:rRNA from 1 species